CGAGAAGAAAAACUCCGCCCAGACCAUAGCGAAGACGCAGAACACGCGAGUUCCCAACUGCUCGAAUUUGCUUGAUCUGGGCGGGUCGCACUGGUUUGCCUCCCGAAGAUGAGACGAUGAUGAUUAGGAUGAGAUAUUAUUUCAUCAGUUCGAUGACGCAAAAAGUGAUUUCCGCUGAUGAGCCCUUCUAUCCCUUUGUCCACCCACCUUUCCUCCUAGCUCCCCGAACCUUAAAUAGCCAUAAGUCGUUCAUAUACGCAGCAAGCAAGUCGCAAGUUUAGUUUUACCCCCGAUCACCGUCGUCGCGAGUAAGGAGUGUACGAGAAAGUACGAAGAGAAGUGUAAAGUGUUCUAAUCGACAGAGGAAGACCUGGACGAUUAAUAAGCCAAACGCCCCGAAUCGUUCCUGGUUCGCCGCGUGCUACGGCACGGUCAAAAGCGUGAUUAAGCCAAAACUAUCGUGCGGACGUCACCAUCGCACUGAACCAGCAAGUCGCCGUCGGCGACUUCGCCGCUGUUAGGGCAUAUCCAAGCAGUUUCGUUAUUAGACGGUGAUCGAAAGUGAGAAAGAUUGUAAAGUUCUCCCCAGAAGCCAACUAAGAAGAAGGUUGACGUGCGGGGCUCAAAGAGCGCGGCGCGCACGCGCACGUGGCAACGCGAUAAUUUCGCACCCGGGCUGACUAAGCCCGCGCACAGCACGUGCCGGCAAGUACGACUCGUGCCAUCAGCUUCCAGCAACCUGACCACGUGUAGCGCUACUAACAGCAUCGAUUAAGCCCCCCGCGAGGUCAAGGCAAUAACGCGUCGUUCACGCGUGC